GACGAACGCUGGCGGCGUGCCUAAUACAUGCAAGUAGAACGCUGAAGAGAGGAGCUUACUCUUCUUGGAUGAGUUGCGAACGGGUGAGUAACGCGUAGGUAACCUGCCUUGUAGCGGGGGAUAACUAUUGGAAACGAUAGCUAAUACCGCAUAACAAUGGAUGACACAUGUCAUUUAUUUGAAAGGGGCAAUUGCUCCACUACAAGAUGGACCUGCGUUGUAUUAGCUAGUAGGUGAGGUAAUGGCUCACCUAGGCGACGAUACAUAGCCGACCUGAGAGGGUGAUCGGCCACACUGGGACGGAGACACGGCCCAGCCUCCUACGGGAGGCAGCAGUAGGGAAUCUUCGGCAAUGGGGGAAACCCUGACCGAGCAACGCCGCGUGAGUGAAGAAGGUUUUCGGAUCGUAAAGCUCUGUUGUACGUCAAGAACGGGUGUGAGAGUGGAAAGUUCACACUGUGACGGUAGCUCACCAGAAAGGGACGGCUAACUACGUG
rnacentral:rRNA from 1 species